CAAAGGAAGCGAUUCCGGCGGGGGAUGGACAUGCGGCGCAUUAGCUAGUCGGCGGGGUAACGGCCCACCGAGGCGACGAUGCGUAGGGGUUCUGAGAGGAAGGUCCCCCACACUGGUACUGAGACACGGACCAGACUCCUACGGGAGGCAGCAGUGAGGAAUAUUGGUCAAUGGGCGGGAGCCUGAACCAGCCAAGUCGCGUGAGGGAAGACGGUCCUAUGGAUUGUAAACCUCUUUUGCCGGGGAGCAACGGGGUCCUUGCGAGGGCCUAAUGAGAGUACCCGGAGAAAAAGCAUCGGCUAACUCCGUGCCAGCAGCCGCGGUAAUACGGAGGAUGCGAGCGUUAUCCGGAUUUAUUGGGUUUAAAGGGUGCGUAGGCGGGCUGUUAAGUCAGCGGUCAAAUGUCGGGGCUCAACCCCGGCCUGCCGUUGAAACUGGUGGCCUCGAGUGGGCGAGAAGUAUGCGGAAUGCGUGGUGUAGCGGUGAAAUGCAUAGAUAUCACGCAGAACUCCGAUUGCGAAGGCAGCAUACCGGCGCCCGACUGACGCUGAGGCACGAAAGCGUGGGUAUCGAACAGGAUUAGAUACCCUGGUAGUCCACGCAGUAAACGAUGAAUGCUAGCUGUCCGGGGCUUCGGU
rnacentral:rRNA from 1 species